CGAACGCUGGCGGCAGGCCUAAUACAUGCAAGUCGAACGGCUCUUCGGAGCAGUGGCGGACGGGUGAGUAACGCGUGGGAAUGUGCCCUUAGGUACGGAACAACACAGGGAAACUUGUGCUAAUACCGUAUGUGCCCUUCGGGGGAAAGAUUUAUCGCCUUUGGAGCAGCCCGCGCUGGAUUAGGUAGUUGGUGAGGUAAAGGCUCACCAAGCCGACGAUCCAUAGCUGGUCUGAGAGGAUGACCAGCAACACUGGGACUGAGACACGGCCCAGACUCCUACGGGAGGCAGCAGUAGGGAAUCUUGCGCAAUGGGCGAAAGCCUGACGCAGCCAUGCCGCGUGUAUGAUGAAGGUCUUAGGAUUGUAAAAUACUUUCACCGGGGAAGAUAAUGACGGUACCCGGAGAAGAAGCCCCGGCUAACUUCGUGCCAGCAGCCGCAGUAAAAC
rnacentral:rRNA from 1 species